rnacentral:rRNA from 1 species
GACGAACGCUGGCGGCGUGCUUAACACAUGCAAGUCGAACGAAGUGGCGAACGGGUGAGUAAUACGUGGGUAACCUGCCCUCCUUUUUGGGAUAAGCCUUGGAAACGGGGUCUAAUACCGAAUAAAGGGGGAUGGGCUCGCGGCCUAUCAGCUUGUUGGUGGGGAGAUGGCCUACCCAGGCGGUGACGGGUAGCCGGCCUGAGAGGGUGACCGGACACAUUGGAAAUUAGAUACGGCCCAGACUCAUACUGGAGGCAGCAGUGGGGGAUAUUGCACAAUGGGGGAAAGCCUGAUGCAGCGAAGCCGCGUGGGGGUUGGAGGCUUUCGGGUUGUAAACCGCUUUCGUAAGCGAACGGGUAGGUGCAGAAGAAGCGCCGGCUAACUACGUGCCAGCAGCCGCGGUAAUUC